CCGGUGCUAACUUUUUGCCACGUGUUUUUCAGGAUAGAAAAUAUAAGCAAUGAAAAACCGUGUGUGUUUAACUCAGGUAUUGGAUGGAGGGCCUUCUACAAGAUGGGAUGGGGACACUUGAGUGAGGGCCAAGUUCAAGAAGAAGAGACAGUCUCAAAGGAGAGCCUCACAAUCAACGAAAAAAGAAGAGAGAAGACAGAGUGAGCCUGAGCAGGCCACUUUCCCCUGGUGCCCAGGUGUUGGCCGGACUCCGACUACAGCAAGGAGGAAGGAGACAGGGCUGAGGACCUCCCUUUCUGCUGCUGCUCUUAAGCGCCAACCACCCUCCAAACAAGUGCCAUCUGGGAUCCCCCUGGGCCUAGAUGAGGUCCCACCAUAGACGUUUUCUGAAUGUACCUAUGUCCAUCUCAGUCAGCCCUGAUGCUUAUGUUCUGUGUCAUGUAGUCUAACUGGUAGUAGGGAUUGUAGUUAGCUUGGAAGUUUGGGGUAUCUAAACCCGCACCUUUGCUGAGCCAUCUAGCCAGA
rnacentral:lncRNA from 1 species